rnacentral:rRNA from 1 species
AGUGAACGCUGGCGGUAGGCCUAACACAUGCAAGUCGAACAGCAGCACAGGAGAGCUUGCUCUCUGGGUGGCGAGUGGCGGACGGGUGAGGAAUACAUCGGAAUCUACCUUUUCGUGGGGGAUAACGUAGGGAGACUUACGCUAAUACCGCAUACGACCUACGGGUGAAAGUGGGGGACCGCAAGGCCUCACGCGAUUAG